UUUCUUUCUGGAGAUCCCUCAGUGGAGCUCUUCCCUGCGAACCUGGAAUCUUCUGAUAUGGAAGUUCCUGACUGAUCCUCUAAACCAGUCUCCUUGCCAUCCACACGGAGGUGUCAGUGUGCUGGAAAGAAGGCAGCGGCCUGCCCUGACGUCACCUGUGACAUUUUGUGAGCAUCAAUGAUUUACUUUCCUCCUUUCUCGGGAAAGGUAGAAGACUGUUAACCUUAAUGUCCUGCUUGGAUGGGAUAGCUCACACGGUAACAAGCUCAACCCUGAAGUUGAAGUUAAACCGCUUAAAGUCAAAUGCUGUUGACCAGAUGUGGAAACGCUGUCAGAUAAAUUCCUGCCUCAGAGCCUUGGUCUGUGAGGCUCCCACAGCAAGAAGCAAUCCCAUGGCUGCUUCCAGCACACAGUGCUGUGGUGUAAAAUCACAUUUCCCAAUAUUCCUUACUUUCUGCCAUUAAAAGCAGCAGUUGAUAAACGGUGACCAGGAGCCUACCCUGUUUUUCUACCAAAUCUGAGGCAAACGAUUUCAUUAUCCCCGUCAGGUGAUGAAGCACAAAAAAAAUUGAGCUCUGUUUAACUUUUAGCAUUUUGGUUUUGUAUAAAAGUUAAACGUUGCACGAAGGCCACUGAGCCUGAACAGAACAGGUGGUAAAAUUAAUGAAGUUGUUGCUCUACUCUGAAUUUAAUGUAAAAUCUUGUUUAAAAUAGCAUACUGUGCCUGACGACACAAGCUGCUGUCCAAAGAAAGGACUGCAGAGGUGAAAGAUAAACAGUGAAAUCAAUGUCCAUGAAUUACUUCUGGCAAAAAUGAAGCAAAAUAAUCACUGCAUACAUAAAUAGUGGAGGUUGUCACCACCAACCGCCCUCAGAAUGUCCAUCCUGUGCAUCUUUCUGUCCUACUCCAUGACUGCCUGGAGGUAUAGAGAUGUGUGACACAUUUGUCAUGAAAUGAAGUAAGAGUUUUCUUGGAAGUUAAUGCACGUGGGAUGAGCAACAGUGUCCCAUGUCCCUCUUGGAGAGAAAUGCACACACAUGUUCUGCCAUGUAUCGACUGUCUUGCACUGGAACUGUGUGCGUUCAGGGGAGUUUAAUUACAGAAUGGCGAAGGAUUAAUAUGCCUUAUUAGAAAAAUAGCACGUCUCCCAAAGCCCAGGCAUGGCUGCCUUGUCCUAUUCUCCCUUGGACAACCAGGAUUAUCUGCUUUUAAAGCAUACACGUAAACUGUGCUACUGGAUAUGGCUGGGAACCACAGUGAUUGAGGAAAUGGAGUUGAAACAAUGUGGGAAUGGCCUCUGAUGUCCCCAGCUGUAUAUUUUCUUUCAGGUUUGAACUUACUCACCUCUAUGUGGUUACUGGUUUUUCAACCUGGGAUAUAUGCCAGUGACUCAUAGACCACAGUUCAUAGUCUGCAAGUAGUACAUGGAGCUCUACUGCAUUAAUGGGGUUCUUGGAGAAAGUUUAUGAAGGGUGCACAGCCAUGUGUGAAAAAUAGAAUGUAAGUGGAGACCCAAAAUAUUUUGGUGAUGCUAGCUUGAUAUGAAGUAACCCAUGGAAUUAGUUCCGCAUCAAAGAAGAAGGGAUUACACUCGCAGGAUUAAACUGUGAGCUCCUUUUUGGCUGCAGAGUGGGACUGGUACACGUUUCACAGUUUUGGGUAUUAGCACUGACAGGUCUGAGCCUUCGUACUGAGUUGAACCUUGGAAUACACUACCUAUGUAAAAUGACCUGAUGAAUGCGCUGCCAAAGAGGAAUGACUUUUUUCUUGCUAGACAUGUCAGCAUAGCAGGACAGUUUGAAUUACUAACUACAGGCCUGGUCUGCUGUAGGUAAAUCCUUCUGCUCACCAUCUCCUUGUUUUUCCUUUGUUUGGAAACGUAAAGACAUUUUUUU
ensembl:lncRNA